rnacentral:tRNA from 1 species
GAGACCGCGGCGCGGAUGGCGCCGCGGCUGCUGGUGGCGGCCGGGGUAGGCGAGUCGGCGUUCUCACACGCCGGCGGGCCCG